rnacentral:rRNA from 1 species
GAUGAACGCUGGCGGCGUGCCUAAUACAUGCAAGUCGAGCGAACAGAUGAGGAGCUUGCUCCUCUGACGUUAGCAGCGGACGGGUGAGUAACACGUGGAUAACCUACCUAUAAGACUGGGAUAACUUCGGGAAACCGGAGCUAAUACCGGAUAAUAUAUUGAACCGCAUGGUUCAAUAGUGAAAGACGGUUUUGCUGUCACUUAUAGAUGGAUCCGCGCCGCAUUAGCUAGUUGGUAAGGUAACGGCUUACCAAGGCAACGAUGCGUAGUCGACCUGAGAGGGUGAUCGGCCACACUGGAACUGAGACACGGUCCAGACUCCUACGGGAGGCAGCAGUAGGGAAUCUUCCGCAAUGGGCGAAAGCCUGACGGAGCAACGCCGCGUGAGUGAUGAAGGUCUUCGGAUCGUAAAACUCUGUUAUUAGGGAAGAACAAAUGUGUAAGUAACUAUGCACGUCUUGACGGUACCUAAUCAGAAAGCCACGGCUAACUACGUG